AUGUGUCGCUAUCUGGAUUUGAACUUCUCGCCGUUUAUUGUUGUACUUCCGCCGUCUGCGGAUGUUGCUGAGGACGCAUAUUUAACAGCUAACAGACACACACAUUACAAAGCAAGAACUGGCAAUGUGCAAGUAGCACCGGCAUGGGAAACAAGGGUCUUUCUGUGCCUUUCCAAUCAAUGGGCUAUAAUGGAGCAGAAAAGAGCCUUGAAGCUUCCUUUUGCUGUUGAUAAGGAUGAAAAGGUUUCUUGGACAGAAUCAACGGGUCUCAGAAGCAGGCAUUGUGAUUUACAAAUCACAAAUGGAGGUGCGCUGUUUGGACACAACCAGGUCGCCAAGAACAUCCAGGAAAUGAUGAGCAAGGAGCCCUUUUUGAUUCUGACAGAUGUGCUGAAGAGUAAGGAGGGCAGGCCUUACUUAGAGAGAAUCAAACAGCAACAUAGCUCACACAAACAAGGACAAAAGGAGCAUCAGCAGUGCAAAGAGGGCUUCAUCUGCAAAGACAGGAGGGCCUCUCAGAGGAUGGCCCACGAUGACAACAGGAAUUUAAAACCUCGACCUGCCCAGAUGUCACCCUCUCUACCCUCCUCAAGGUCACGGCUGCAGAGAAAAUCACAGAAUAUGGAUGAUGCAGGUAAUGAUCAAGAAAAUGAUUUAGAGGAGGUGAUCAUCGGCCAGGACUUCAGAGGGAGCUACCGUUUCUCUGAAGUUGUUGGUGUGUAUACUUGUCGAAACUUGAUUUUUUUAUUAAAGCCUGGCUUUAUAAAUGGGCUGAAGUUGGUGUUCUGCUGGCAAGUGGGCUACGUUCAGCAUAGUUCUACAAUGAGAAAUGUAGAGCAAGAAGGUGACCACUUAAUUUUCCUUCUGUUCCGAUUGUGGGUUGUCAGUGAGUUGGGAGCCUGCUCAGGACAAAGGAGGCCGUGA
rnacentral:lncRNA from 1 species